UACGGGGGGGGCAAGCGUUGUUCGGAAUUACUGGGCGUAAAGGGCUCGUAGGCGGCCAACUAAGUCAGACGUGAAAUCCCUCGGCUUAACCGGGGAACUGCGUCUGAUACUGGUUGGCUUGAAUCCGGGAGAGGGAUGUGGAAUUCCAGGUGUAGCGGUGAAAUGCGUAGAUAUCGUGAGGAAGACCAGUGGCGAAGGCGAGUCUCUGGACAGCAACUGACGCUGAGGCACGAAGGCCAGGGGAGCAAACGGG
rnacentral:rRNA from 1 species